rnacentral:lncRNA from 1 species
GCAAAAGAGAAGGUUUCAAUUACUUUAACUUGCCAGAACGACACUCCCAUUACUGCCAGACUGUCUGGUUCUAACAACUAGACAGAGAAGAGUUAGGUCUUCGGAAGAUGUAGCUCUUCUUUAAGAAGUACUUACUGUUCCUGUCACUGCACAUAAUCCCAAGAACAACCUCCUCUGGCACUUACUACAACAAGUGAGAAUAAUUCUGAUGCCUAAU